UCGAGCGGGGGAAGGUAGCUUGCUACCGGACCUAGCGGCGGACGGGUGAGUAAUGCUUAGGAAUCUGCCUAUUAGUGGGGGACAACAUCUCGAAAGGGAUGCUAAUACCGCAUACGUCCUACGGGAGAAAGCAGGGGAUCUUCGGACCUUGCGCUAAUAGAUGAGCCUAAGUCGGAUUAGCUAGUUGGUGGGGUAAAGGCCUACCAAGGCGACGAUCUGUAGCGGGUCUGAGAGGAUGAUCCGCCACACUGGGACUGAGACACGGCCCAGACUCCUACGGGAGGCAGCAGUGGGGAAUAUUGGACAAUGGGGGGAACCCUGAUCCAGCCAUGCCGCGUGUGUGAAGAAGGCCUUAUGGUUGUAAAGCACUUUAAGCGAGGAGGAGGCUACUUUAGUUAAUACCUAGAGAUAGUGGACGUUACUCGCAGAAUAAGCACCGGCUAACUCUGUGCCAGCAGCCGCGGUAAUACAGAGGGUGCGAGCGUUAAUCGGAUUUACUGGGCGUAAAGCGUGCGUAGGCGGCUUAUUAAGUCGGAUGUGAAAUCCCCGAGCUUAACUUGGGAAUUGCAUUCGAUACUGGUGAGCUAGAGUAUGGGAGAGGAUGGUAGAAUUCCAGGUGUAGCGGUGAAAUGCGUAGAGAUCUGGAGGAAUACCGAUGGCGAAGGCAGCCAUCUGGCCUAAUACUGACGCUGAGGUACGAAAGCAUGGGGAGCAAACAGGAUUAGAUACCCUGGUAGUCCAUGCCGUAAACGAUGUCUACUAGCCGUUGGGGCCUUUGAGGCUUUAGUGGCGCAGCUAACGCGAUAAGUAGACCGCCUGGGGAGUACGGUCGCAAGACUAAAACUCAAAUGAAUUGACGGGGGCCCGCACAAGCGGUGGAGCAUGUGGUUUAAUUCGAUGCAACGCGAAGAACCUUACCUGGCCCUUGACAUACUAGAAACUUUCCAGA
rnacentral:rRNA from 1 species